AUACGGAGGGCGCAAGCGUUGUUCGGAAUUACUGGGCGUAAAGCGCGUGUAGGCGGUUCGGCAAGUCGGAUGUGAAAUCCCGGGGCCCAACCCCGGAACUGCAUUCGAUACUGCCGAGCUAGAGUCCCGGAGAGGGUGGCGGAAUUCCCAGUGUAGAGGUGAAAUUCGUAGAUACUGGGAGGAACACCGGUGGCGAAGGCGGCCACCUGGACGGUGACUGACGCUGAGACGCGAAAGCGUGGGGAGCAAACAGGAUUAGAUACCCUAGUAGUCC
rnacentral:rRNA from 1 species